rnacentral:rRNA from 1 species
GUCACGCUGUAAACGAUGUCGAUUUGGAGGUUGUGCCCUUGAGGCGUGGCUUCCGGAGCUAACGCGUUAAAUCGACCGCCUGGGGAGUACGGCCGCAAGGUUAAAACUCAAAUGAAUUGACGGGGGCCCGCACAAGCGGUGGAGCAUGUGGUUUAAUUCGAUGCAACGCGAAGAACCUUACCUACUCUUGACAUCCAGAGAACUUUCCAGAGAUGGAUUGGUGCCUUCGGGAACUCUGAGACAGGUGCUGCAUGGCUGUCGUCAGCUCGUGUUGUGAAAUGUUGGGUUAAGUCCCGCAACGAGCGCAACCCUUAUCCUUUGUUGCCAGCGGUUCGGCCGGGAACUCAAAGGAGACUGCCAGUGAUAAACUGGAGGAAGGUGGGGAUGACGUCAAGUCAUCAUGGCCCUUACGAGUAGGGCUACACACGUGCUACAAUGGCGUAUACAAAGAGAAGCGACCUCGCGAGAGCAAGCGGACCUCAUAAAGUACGUCGUAGUCCGGAUUGGAGUCUGCAACUCGACUCCAUGAAGUCGGAAUCGCUAGUAAUCGUAGAUCAGAAUGCUACGGUGAAUACGUUCCCGGGCCUUGUACACACCGCCCGUCACACCAUGGGAGUGGGUUGCAAAAGAAGUAGGUAGCUUAACCUUCGGGAGGGCGCUUACCACUUUGUGAUUCAUGACUGGGGUGAAGUCGUAACAAGGUAACCA